rnacentral:siRNA from 1 species
AAAGACUUACAAACAUAAUUGGAUC